GCGGAGGAAAAGAAACCAUCAGGGAUUGCCUAGUACGGCGAGUGAAGCGGCACAGCUCAAAUUUGAAAGCUAGCCUUCGGGUUCGCAUUGUAAUUUGUAGAGGAUGAUUUGGAGAAGCCGCCUGUCUAAGUUCCUUGGAACAGGACGUCAUAGAGGGUGAGAAUCCCGUAUGUGACAGGAAAUGGCACCCUAUGUAAAUCUCCUUCGACGAGUCGAGUUGUUUGGGAAUGCAGCUCUAAAUGGGAGGUAAAUUUCUUCUAAAGCUAAAUAUUGGCGAGAGACCGAUAGCGCACAAGUAGAGUGAUCGAAAGAUGAAAAGCACUUUGGAAAGAGAGUUAAAAAGCACGUGAAAUUGUUGAAAGGGAAGCGCUUGCAAUCAGACUUGUUUAAACUGUUCGGCCGGUCUUCUGACCGGUUUACUCAGUUUGGACAGGCCAGCAUCAGUUUCGGCGGCCGGAUAAAGGCUCUGGGAAUGUGGCCUCCACUUCGGUGGAGGUGUUAUAGCCCAGGGUGUAAUACGGCCAGCCGGGACUGAGGUCCGCGCUUCGGCUAGGAUGCUGGCGUAAUGGUUGUAAGCGACCCGU
rnacentral:rRNA from 1 species